CCUACGGGAGGCAGCAGUAACGAAUCUUCCGCAAUGGGCGAAAGCCUGACGGAGCAAUGCCGCGUGCAGGAUGAAGCAUCUUCGAUGUGUAAACUGCUGUCAGGGUCUAGGAACAAUGACCAGACUCAGAGGAAGGGCCGGCUAAUUCCGUGCCAGCAGCCGCGGUAAU
rnacentral:rRNA from 1 species